GAUGAACACUAGCGGGAGGCUUAACACAUGCAAGUCGAGGGGCAGCACGGGAUAGCAAUAUUCUGGUGGCGACCGGCGCACGGGUGAGUAACACGUAUGCAACCUACCUCGUACAGGGGGAUAACCCGGAGAAAUUCGGACUAAUAUCCCAUAAUGAUAUUGAGAGGCAUCUUUUAAUAUUUAAAGCUCAGGCGGUACGGGAUGGGCAUGCGGAACAUUAGCUAGUUGGCAGGGUAACGGCCUACCAAGGCUGCGAUGUUUAGGGGACCUGAGAGGGUUAUCCCCCACACUGGUACUGAGACACGGACCAGACUCCUACGGGAGGCAGCAGUGAGGAAUAGUGGUCAAUGGGCGCAAGCCUGAACCAGCCGUCCCGCGUGAAGGAAGAAGGCGCUAUGCGUUGUAAACUUCUUUUCCAGGGGGAGAAUUUUUCCGUCGUGACGGGAAUUGACGGUACUCUGGGAAUAAGCAUCGGCUAACUCCGUGCCAGCAGCCGCAGUAAGAC
rnacentral:rRNA from 1 species